AUGAUUUCAAGACAAGAGCCCAUUCCACUACCAAAGGUUACCACACCCGCUGAAAUACUUGAUGCACAUAGGUUGAUACCUGAUUUAGCUGAGCAAGAUAUGCUUCGAUGUUACGGGAAAUUGGUACUCAAUGAUCGCUUGUUUCAAGCUCUGAAGGAGCUGCCCAUUACCAUGAGGAAGACAUGGCUGCUAAUGUUGCUUUGA
rnacentral:rRNA from 1 species